GAUGAAGAACGUAGCGAAAUGCGAUACGUAAUGUGAAUUGCAAAUUCAGUGAAUCAUCGAGUCUUUGAACGCACAUUGCGCCCCCUGGUAUUCCGGGGGGCAUGCCUGUCCGAGCGUCAUUGCUACCCUCAAGCACGGCUUGUGUGUUGGGCCCCGUCCUCCGAUCCCGGGGGACGGGCCCGAAAGGCAGCGGCGGCACCGCGUCCGGUCCUCGAGCGUAUGGGGCUUUGUCACCCGCUCUGUAGGCCCGGCCGGCGCUUGCCGAUCAACCCAAAUUUUUAUCCAGGUUGACCUCGGAUCAGGUAGGGAUACCCGCUGAACUUAAGCAUAUUCAAUAAGCGGAGGA
rnacentral:misc_RNA from 1 species